GGGGAAUUUUGCGCAAUGGGGGAAACCCUGACGCAGCAACGCCGCGUGGAGGAUGAAGUCCCUUGGGACGUAAACUCCUUUCGACCGGGACGAUAAUGACGGUACCGGAAGAAGAAGCCCCGGCUAACUUCGUGCCAGCAGCCGCGGUAAUA
rnacentral:rRNA from 1 species